GGAAAGAAACCAACAGGGAUUGCCCCAGUAACGGCGAGUGAAGCGGCAAGAGCUCAAAUUUUAAAUCUGGGGUCUCCGGCCCCCGAGUUGUAAUUUGGAGAGGCAUCUUCGGGAGGAGCGCUGGCCAAUGUUCCUUGGAACAGGACGUCGCAGAGGGUGAGAAUCCCGUGCCAGGCCAGCCGCGCCCUUCCACGUGAAGCGCCUUCGACGAGUCGAGUUGUUUGGGAAUGCAGCUCCAAGUGGGUGGUAAAUUUCAUCUAAAGCUAAAUACCGGCGAGAGACCGAUAGCGCACAAGUAGAGUGAUCGAAAGAUGAAAAGCACUUUGAAAAUAGAGUCAAAAAGUACGUGAAAUUGUUGAAAGGGAAGCGCUUGAGACCAGACUCGGAGCGAGGCAAACAUCUGGCCCCGCGGGGCCGUGCACUUGCCUCGGGCCGGGCCAGCAUCAGUUGGUGCGGCGGGAGAAAGGCGCGGGGAAUGUGGCUCCCCUCGGGGAGUGUUAUUAGCCCCGUGCUCAAUGCCGCCCGCACCGACUGAGGACCGCGCUUCGGCUAGGAUGCUGGCUUAAUGGCCUUCAGCGACCCGUCUUGAAACACGGACCAAGGAGUCUAACAUCUAUGCGAGUGUUUGGGUGCCAAACCCUUUCGCGGAAUGAAAGUGAAACGGAGGUGGGAACCCCUCGCCGGGGCGCACCAUCGACCGAUCCUGAUGUCUUCGGAUGGAUUUGAGUAGGA
rnacentral:rRNA from 1 species